AGGCUAUGUUGGCCGGGCGACGGUUGUCCCGGUUUAAGCGUGUAGGUGUGUGUUCCAGGUAAAUCCGGUUCACUUUAACACUGAGGCGUGACGACGAGGCACUACGGUGCUGAAGCAACAAAUGCCCUGCUUCCAGGAAAAGCCUCUAAGCAUCAGGUAACAUCAAAUCGUACCCCAAACCGACACAGGUGGUCAGGUAGAGAAUACCAAGGCGCUUGAGAG
rnacentral:rRNA from 1 species